rnacentral:rRNA from 1 species
CUUUAACACUGAGGCGUGACGACGAGGCACUACGGUGCUGAAGCAACAAAUGCCCUGCUUCCAGGAAAAGCCUCUAAGCAUCAGGUAACAUCAAAUCGUACCCCAAACCGACACAGGUGGUCAGGUAGAGAAUACCAAGGCGCUUGAGAGAACUCGGGUGAAGGAACUAGGCAAAAUGGUGCCGUAACUUCGGGAGAAGGCACGCUGACACGUAGGUGAAGUGAUUUACUCAUGGAGCUGAAGUCAGUCGAAGAUACCAGCUGGCUGCAACUGUUUAUUAAAAACACAGCACUGUGCAAACACGAAAGUGGACGUAUACGGUGUGACGCCUGCCCGGUGCCGGAAGGUUAAUUGAUGGGGUCAGCGCAAGCGAAGCUCCUGAUCGAAGCCCCGGUAAACGGCGGCCGUAACUAUAACGGUCCUAAGGUAGCGAAAUUCCUUGUCGGGUAAGUUCCGACCUGCACGAAUGGCGUAAUGAUGGCCAGGCUGUCUCCACCCGAGACUCAGUGAAAUUGAACUCGCUGUGAAGAUGCAGUGUACCCGCGGCAAGACGGAAAGACCCCGUGAACCUUUACUAUAGCUUGACACUGAACAUUGAGCCUUGAUGUGUAGGAUAGGUGGGAGGCUUUGAAGUGUGGACGCCAGUCUGCAUGGAGCCGACCUUGAAAUACCACCCUUUAAUGUUUGAUGUUCUAACGUGGACCCGUAAUCCGGGUUGCGGACAGUGUCUGGUGGGUAGUUUGACUGGGGCGGUCUCCUCCUAAAGAGUAACGGAGGAGCACGAAGGUUGGCUAAUCCUGGUCGGACAUCAGGAGGUUAGUGCAAUGGCAUAAGCCAGCUUGACUGCGAGCGUGACGGCGCGAGCAGGUGCGAAAGCAGGUCAUAGUGAUCCGGUGGUUCUGAAUGGAAGGGCCAUCGCUCAACGGAUAAAAGGUACUCCGGGGAUAACAGGCUGAUACCGCCCAAGAGUUCAUAUCGACGGCGGUGUUUGGCACCUCGAUGUCGGCUCAUCACAUCCUGGGGCUGAAGUAGGUCCCAAGGGUAUGGCUGUUCGCCAUUUAAAGUGGUACGCGAGCUGGGUUUAGAACGUCGUGAGACAGUUCGGUCCCUAUCUGCCGUGGGCGCUGGAGAACUGAGGGGGGCUGCUCCUAGUACGAGAGGACCGGAGUGGACGCAUCACUGGUGUUCGGGUUGUCAUGCCAAUGGCACUGCCCGGUAGCUAAAUGCGGAAGAGAUAAGUGCUGAAAGCAUCUAAGCACGAAACUUGCCCCGAGAUGAGUUCUCCCUGAGACUUAGAGUCUCCUGAAGGAACGUUGAAGACGACGACGUUGAUAGGCCGGGUGUGUAAGCGCAGCGAUGCGUUGAGCUAACCGGUACUAAUGAACCGUGAGGCUUAACCUUACA